CCCGUUGACUCCACCUCCGCCUCGCGCGGGCCGAAGGCUUCCGGCGGGAUGAGUUCGUCGUAGACUAAACAGAGGUGAAAUUCUCCCUUGGACCAACUUCCUUGAUGUCUGCAAACCUACACAUCAGAUAAUGAUGUUUGUUUUUCAGGCUGUUCCAUCAUGAACUUGGGCAGGAUCAGGGACAUCUGAUCCUAAGUCAAAGUCAGAAGACCAGCAUAGAACCCCAGAUGCGUUAUUGACAACGCUCCAAGCAGGAAGAUUUUGAAGACUGACAGACGUGCACUGGAGCUUGCCACACAGACUGUGCCUGUAUCGAACAAAUGACACUCAAAAACAAGGAUUUCCUGAGCAGUUUUGGGGUCCAGGAAUAUGAAGGCAACAAGAAAGUCACCUGCUAGGCCAAACCCAACUGCAAUGGUUCCAAGCCAAAGCAAGAGCUCUGGACACCCUUGGCUGCUGGAACAGGUUGAGGGGAAGGCUUGGACUCGAGAAACAAAGGUAUUUACCCUCAAAAGCUUUUCGCUGAUAGAGGUACUGUUGGAUAAAAAUGCAUAUUUCACAGGCUGCUGUACAAACAUCUCGUGAUGAAGGCUGCCGUUCAGCACAUCGCAUUGGAAGGGGAUAUCCUGCAUAUCUUCUAACUGGUAAAACACGUGUUCAAAUGUGCUGGAUGCGUUGAGCGGCUCCAUUCCAUACCAUUUGCCACCGAUGUUGAGAAUUCCUCUAAUUAUUGUAAAAGAAUGAAAAUUAUUCCACAUUUUUUUCCCUCGCAGUUAGGCAUAGGUAAAUGAACGGCAGCUGAAUACUUAAAAACUGUAAUUGUCCGUACCACUAUGCUGAAAUAAAUCAUCAUCUUAGUUUAUCAUAGUGUAGGGAAUAAGUUCAAAUGCCCAACAGGAUCUCAAAAGACAAAGCAGAACUUGCUUAAAACACUCGAUGGUACACAAGUGUGGGCUUUCUGAAACAAUUAGCAGGAAAGCCAGAUUGUUACUACAUGAGUCUGGACUGUGGGUACAGAGCAAAGGGUUUAUUUUAGGCCUUAUCUCUAGUCUCACUCCUAUCCCCAUGCAGCUAAAGUAAUCCAGCGCUUUAUAAAAAGAUAUCUUUUAAAACAGAAAGAGCGGCUAAAAGCAAUCACCAGGGUCUUAUGAGGACAACAGCAGUUUUGCACUGCUGAAUGUAGCUGGUUAUAACGAUUUUGCGUUUGUCCAUGGCUCAGAAAGACCUGGCACAUGCCCACAUGCUGUACCAGAAUCUUUCUGAAGCUAUUACCUUGUUCUCCAGAGUCUCAAAACUCUACUUAGAAACAGAAUUCUCUAGUUAAUAUCUUGCGAAAGAAAACCCUCAAAAAUGUGAGUUCAAGGUAACCAAAGGAUUUGAGUCUGCAUCAGUUUACAGAACAGCCUAAAGGAAAUAUCUGUUCUGCUUAGUGAGAUCCAGCGUUACCUGAAAUACCAGCAUGUUGAGCAUUUAAUUCUUCAUUUAAAGGAAUGCUAGAAAAUGUCAUUGUUUAUUCUGAGUGGCAUCUCACUGGGACACUGUACAUUAAAGAUGUGGGUGAACUUUAUCACAGUUGCCUCUUACUGCUUGUCAAAAACACAUCAAAUCGAACAAGGCUACUACAACCAAUGAGUAUAUCCAAAAUCCAGCUGAAGAGCCAAGCUCAGCAAACACAGGGGAGCGUGGACACGCUCCAAACACAUUCUAAAUAUCUGUGCAAUUUGCCGUGUGUGUCAUUUUGCCAACUCACAUAGACUGAUUCUAUGGGGAGAACACCACCAUCUUUUACGCUUUAAUCUGGCUCCUUUGUGUUUCUCAAAUAAAUAUAAUUUUCUUGUAUUCGAAACACAUAAAAUUGUUUCAAAUUGGG